rnacentral:rRNA from 1 species
CACUGAUUGAUGGUGCUUGCACCUGAUUGACGAUGGAUCACCAGUGAGUGGCGGACGGGUGAGUAACACGUAGGUAACCUGCCCCGGAGCGGGGGAUAACAUUUGGAAACAGAUGCUAAUACCGCAUAACAACAAAAGCCACAUGGCUUUUGUUUGAAAGAUGGCUUUGGCUAUCACUCUGGGAUGGACCUGCGGUGCAUUAGCUAGUUGGUAAGGUAACGGCUUACCAAGGCGAUGAUGCAUAGCCGAGUUGAGAGACUGAUCGGCCACAAUGGAACUGAGACACGGUCCAUACUCCUACGGGAGGCAGCAGUAGGGAAUCUUCCACAAUGGGCGCAAGCCUGAUGGAGCAACACCGCGUGAGUGAAGAAGGGUUUCGGCUCGUAAAGCUCUGUUGUUGGAGAAGAACGUGCGUGAGAGUAACUGUUCACGCAGUGACGGUAUCCAACCAGAAAGUCACGGCUAACUACGUGCCAGCAGCCGCGGUAAUACGUAGGUGGCAAGCGUUAUCCGGAUUUAUUGGGCGUAAAGCGAGCGCAGGCGGUUGCUUAGGUCUGAUGUGAAAGCCUUCGGCUUAACCGAAGAAGUGCAUCGGAAACCGGGCGACUUGAGUGCAGAAGAGGACAGUGGAACUCCAUGGGU